rnacentral:rRNA from 1 species
AGUCGAACGCGCGUCUCAGGAGCUUGCUCCUGUGACGCGAGUGGCGGACGGGUGAGUAACACGUAGGCAACCUGCCCAUCAGACCGGGAUAACCACGGGAAACCGUGACUAAUACCGGAUAAUCCUUUUCCUCACAGGAGGGGAAGUUGAAAGGCGGUCUUUUGACUGCCACUGAUGGAUGGGCCUGCGGCGCAUUAGCUAGUUGGUGGGGUAAGGGCCCACCAAGGCGACGAUGCGUAGCCGACCUGAGAGGGUGAUCGGCCACACUGGGACUGAGACACGGCCCAGACUCCUACGGGAGGCAGCAGUAGGGAAUCUUCCGCAAUGGACGAAAGUCUGACGGAGCAACGCCGCGUGAGUGAAGAAGGGUUUCGGCUCGUAAAACUCUGUUGUCAGGGAAGAACGUCCCCGUGAGUAACUGCACGGGGAGUGACGGUACCUGACCAGAAAGCCACGGCUAACUACGUGCCAGCAGCCGCGGUAAUACGUAGGUGGCAAGCGUUAUCCGGAAUUAUUGGGCGUAAAGCGCGCGUAGGCGGUCUGUUAAGUCUGAUGUGAAAGCCCCCGGCUCAACCGGGGAGGGUCAUUGGAAACUGGCAGACUUGAGUGCAGAAGAGGAGAGUGGAAUUCCAUGUGUAGCGGUGAAAUGCGCAGAGAU